rnacentral:rRNA from 1 species
GGGUUGUGAGGUUAAGCGACUAAGCGUACACGGUGGAUGCCCUGGCAGUCAGAGGCGAUGAAGGACGUGCUAAUCUGCGAAAAGCGUCGGUAAGGUGAUAUGAACCGUUAUAGCCGGCGAUGUCCGAAUGGGGAAACCCAGUGCAAUUCGUUGCACUAUCGUUAACUGAAUACAUAGGUUAACGAGGCGAACCGGGGGAACUGAAACAUCUAAGUACCCCGAGGAAAAGAAAUCAACCGAGAUUCCCCCAGUAGCGGCGAGCGAACGGGGAGCAGCCCAGAGUCUGAAUCAGCUUGUGUGUUAGUGGAACGGUCUGGAAAGUCCGACGGUACAGGGUGAUAGUCCCGUACACCAAAAUGCACAGGCUGUGAACUCGAAGAGUAGGGCGGGACACGUGGUAUCCUGUCUGAAUAUGGGGGGACCAUCCUCCAAGGCUAAAUACUCCUGACUGACCGAUAGUGAACCAGUACCGUGAGGGAAAGGCGAAAAGAACCCCGGCGAGGGGAGUGAAAAAGAACCUGAAACCGUGUACGUACAAGCAGUGGGAGCACCUUCGGGUGUGACUGCGUACCUUUUGUAUAAUGGGUCAGCGACUUAUAUUCUGUAGCAAGGUUAACCGUAUAGGGGAGCCGCAGGGAAACCGAGUCUUAACUGGGCGUUAAGUUGCAGGGUAUAGACCCGAAACCCGGUGAUCUAGCCAUGGGCAGGUUGAAGGUUGGGUAACACUAACUGGAGGACCGAACCGACUAAUGUUGAAAAAUUAGCGGAUGACUUGUGGCUGGGGGUGAAAGGCCAAUCAAACCGGGAGAUAGCUGGUUCUCCCCGAAAGCUAUUUAGGUAGCGCCUCGUGAAUUCAUCUUCGGGGGUAGAGCACUGUUUCGGCUAGGGGGUCAUCCCGACUUACCAACCCGAUGCAAACUACGAAUACCGAAGAAUGUUAUCACGGGAGACACACGGCGGGUGCUAACGUCCGUCGUGAAGAGGGAAACAACCCAGACCGCCAGCUAAGGUCCCAAAGUCAUGGUUAAGUGGGAAACGAUGUGGGAAGGCACAGACAGCCAGGAUGUUGGCUUAGAAGCAGCCAUCAUUUAAAGAAAGCGUAAUAGCUCACUGGUCGAGUCGGCCUGCGCGGAAGAUGUAACGGGGCUAAACCAUGCACCGAAGCUGCGGCAGCGACACUAUGUGUUGUUGGGUAGGGGAGCGUUCUGUAAGCCUGCGAAGGUGUGCUGUGAGGCAUGCUGGAGGUAUCAGAAGUGCGAAUGCUGACAUAAGUAACGAUAAAGCGGGUGAAAAGCCCGCUCGCCGGAAGACCAAGGGUUCCUGUCCAACGUUAAUCGGGGCAGGGUGAGUCGACCCCUAAGGCGAGGCCGAAAGGCGUAGUCGAUGGGAAACAGGUUAAUAUUCCUGUACUUGGUGUUACUGCGAAGGGGGGACGGAGAAGGCUAUGUUAGCCGGGCGACGGUUGUCCCGGUUUAAGCAUGUAGGCUGAUUAUCCAGGCAAAUCCGGAUAAUCAAGGCUGAGGUGUGAUGACGAGGCACUACGGUGCUGAAGUAACAAAUGCCCUGCUUCCAGGAAAAGCCUCUAAGCAUCAGGUAACAUCAAAUCGUACCCCAAACCGACACAGGUGGUCAGGUAGAGAAUACCAAGGCGCUUGAGAGAACUCGGGUGAAGGAACUAGGCAAAAUGGUGCCGUAACUUCGGGAGAAGGCACGCUGGUGUGUAGGUGAAGUCCCUGCGGAUGGAGCUGAGACCAGUCGAAGAUACCAGCUGGCUGCAACUGUUUAUUAAAAACACAGCACUGUGCAAACACGAAAGUGGACGUAUACGGUGUGACGCCUGCCCGGUGCCGGAAGGUUAAUUGAUGGGGUUAUCCGUAAGGAGAAGCUCUUGAUCGAAGCCCCGGUAAACGGCGGCCGUAACUAUAACGGUCCUAAGGUAGCGAAAUUCCUUGUCGGGUAAGUUCCGACCUGCACGAAUGGCGUAAUGAUGGCCAGGCUGUCUCCACCCGAGACUCAGUGAAAUUGAACUCGCUGUGAAGAUGCAGUGUACCCGCGGCAAGACGGAAAGACCCCGUGAACCUUUACUAUAGCUUGACACUGAACAUUGAGCCUUGAUGUGUAGGAUAGGUGGGAGGCUUUGAAGCGUGGACGCCAGUCUGCGUGGAGCCAACCUUGAAAUACCACCCUUUAAUGUUUGAUGUUCUAACGUUGGCCCCUGACCGGGGUUGCGGACAGUGUCUGGUGGGUAGUUUGACUGGGGCGGUCUCCUCCCAAAGCGUAACGGAGGAGCACGAAGGUUAGCUAAUCCUGGUCGGACAUCAGGAGGUUAGUGCAAUGGCAUAAGCUAGCUUGACUGCGAGCGUGACGGCGCGAGCAGGUGCGAAAGCAGGUCAUAGUGAUCCGGUGGUUCUGAAUGGAAGGGCCAUCGCUCAACGGAUAAAAGGUACUCCGGGGAUAACAGGCUGAUACCGCCCAAGAGUUCAUAUCGACGGCGGUGUUUGGCACCUCGAUGUCGGCUCAUCACAUCCUGGGGCUGAAGUAGGUCCCAAGGGUAUGGCUGUUCGCCAUUUAAAGUGGUACGCGAGCUGGGUUUAGAACGUCGUGAGACAGUUCGGUCCCUAUCUGCCGUGGGCGCUGGAGAAUUGAGGGGGGCUGCUCCUAGUACGAGAGGACCGGAGUGGACGCAUCACUGGUGUUCGGGUUGUCAUGCCAAUGGCACUGCCCGGUAGCUAAAUGCGGAAGAGAUAAGUGCUGAAAGCAUCUAAGCACGAAACUUGCCCCGAGAUGAGUUCUCCCUGAGACUUUAAGUCUCCUGAAGGAACGUUGAAGACGACGACGUUGAUAGGCCGGGUGUGUAAGCGCAGCGAUGCGUUGAGCUAACCGGUACUAAUGAACCGUGAGGCUUAACCUUACAACGCCGAAG